rnacentral:misc_RNA from 1 species
GUGGGAGGGGGCUUGCUCCCGAUAGCAGUGUGUCAGUCAGCUCAUCUGUAGCUGACCCACCGCCAUCGGGAGCAAGCCCCCUCCCAC